rfam:Ovis aries breed Texel chromosome 3, whole genome shotgun sequence.
UCCCUAGUAGCUCAGCUGGUAAAGAAUCCGCCUGCAAUGCGGAAGACCUAUGUUCAAUCCCUGGAUUGGGAA